rnacentral:tRNA from 1 species
UCCCUGGUGGUCUAGUGGUUAGGACGGCUAGCAUAAACCAUUACGCUGGCAGCCAAGGUUCGAAUCCUUGUCGGGGAC